rnacentral:tRNA from 1 species
AGCUCAAUGGCAGAGCGUUUGCUUCCCAAGCAAAAUGUUGAGAGUUCGAAUCUCUUC